rnacentral:lncRNA from 1 species
UAGGACUAUUCGGAUUUACUUAUCUUAUACUGGGCAAAUGAUGGGAGGAGAAAAGAGGAGGGCAAUGACAGAAGAAAUGGCUGUCAGAGGGAGAAAGCAGUACUGGCUGACAUGUUAGAAGAACUGAUGAGAGCGGGGCCCUACAGAGAGAGAGAAGCACUGCCUAGAGGAACUGCUGGCUCAGGGUACCUGCAGAACUGUGAGCUUAAAACUGGCAAGAGUGUAAAUGUGCAUCCUGCUUCACCUGUUUAGUAUGG